CAACAGCGUAUAUUAAAGUUGUUGCAGUUAAAAAGCUCGUAGUUGAAUUUCGGGUCCCCGCGCUCGGCGCUUCAUUGUGCCGUCGUGGUGUCCCUCCUCGCCGUAAGGCGUCCUUUACUGUGAAAAAAUUAGAGUGUUCAAAGCAGGCAAUCGCUUGAAUACAUUAGCAUGGAAUAAUAAGAUAGGAUCUUGUCUAUUUUGUUGGUUGCGGACAACGAUAAUGAUUAAUAGGGAUAGUUGGGGGUGUCCGUAUUGAGCUGUCAGAGGUGAAAUUCUUGGAUUUGCUCAAGACGAACUACUGCGAAAGCAUUCACCAAGGAUGUUUUCAUUAA
rnacentral:rRNA from 1 species